rnacentral:ribozyme from 14 species
UAUAAGGAAGGAAAGAAAGAAAGAAAGGAAGGAAGGAAGGAAGGAAGGAAAUGAAUCGUGGUGGGCAGCCCGGCCAAUGAGCUCACAUGCAAUGGCUCACCUUUUUUUGAUCAUUUUUUGGUAUUUUUUUGGGUCCUUUUUU